GUUAGCGUAAUUUAACUAAAAUAUAACACUGAAGAUGUUAAAACGGGCCCUAGAACGCUCCGCAAACA
rnacentral:tRNA from 1 species